rnacentral:lncRNA from 1 species
AACUUGACGUACACACGCAGUCCUAUCCCUACGGUCCUGGAAUUGGGGGUUACUAUCUUGGAAUCUAGGGGCACUCCAGGCUCUGGGCUCAGACGGCUGGCUUCUGCCUACCCGAGCCUUAACCUUUCAAGGACCAGAAGGAUUCCAGAGCUCUUGCCCUAGGUCCUGGGGCAGCGAUGACUCACUGCAGCACCCCCUCCCACUUCGCCAAGCUGCCGUCUCCGCCCACCCCCAAACAAUCUCGACAGCGCAUUUCGGGAGCCACGGCUCCGGGCGCUUUGCUGGGGGCUAAAGGGGUUUAUCCCUUUCCUUGAAUCCCAGCAGGCUAGAACUACCCCCUCCCAGUCUUCAGGCUUGCCACGCUCUCCACCCGAUCCUUCCAUUGAAAGGCAGAGAAGGAAGGAUGUGCUUGGGAACUUUAAGACCCACGAACGACAGCGCACUGAUGGAGCAGCCCAGUGUCUGGGGCAAAGUCCUCGAGGUUCAUUCAUUCAGGAAGCCUCUGACCAGCCUUUACCAUGCGCUGAGUGAGAAGCUGAGGAUAAGGAAAGAGCAAGACCCCCAAGAAACCCUGAUGUCUGGCUGAAAGCCGAAGCAUGACGCAACUUUGCUAUAUUUCUCUCCAACAAGGAUUUGUAUAUUUUCGCUUUCUCCUCAAGUAACACCUGGACCUGCUCCUUUCCCUUCAAACGCUGAGGGCUCAGUCUCCAAGUUCCUUUAUGAAACAGGGUGUACCAUCAGAGACGCAGGUAUUUAUUGAAACCUGCUUUGUGCUGGGCAAUGUGCCAGAUGUUGGGGAUAAAAUGGUGAGCAGACAGAUCCUGUGCCUGUCUUUAUUGAGCUUGGAGCCUAUUUUGUGUACUAUUAAAGAAGAACAGCUACAAUGAUCUAAAAAAGCUACUAAACAGUUCCCCUCUGUUCCAAUUAUGUCUCGAAGUUGGAUCUUUUUCAUCUACUUCAAUCAAAACCACGUAUCACAACAGACUGAAGGCAGAACAGAUAUGAUCAUCAAGCUGUCUUCUGUUAAUCCAGAUGUUAAAUGUAAAACAGUGCUACUCUUUGUACUAAAUGCUUUAUUUUGGAAAAUAUCAUUAUUUCUCUUAAAAAUGUGCUAUUUAUGUUAACAUAGGAGUUUAUUGUUAUUUUUGAGUGAAUAAAGCAAUAUUUUUAAAUUUCUUAGUUUUAAGAUUGAAUACAGUAAAUAUUGAUAGGUAUAAUACAUAUAAAUAAAACUCUUUGGGGUCCUUAAUACUUUUUAGGAGUGUAAGGGGUUCCUGAGAGCAAAAUUUUGAGGAUCCUACCUAGUGCAUGAGAACAUGGGCUCUGGAGCCAGGCCUGCCUGGGUAUAUCCUAUUAUCGCUGGGUUUUUUUUUUAAUUUUAUUUUACGUUUAGGGGUACAUGUGCAGGUUUGUUAUGUAGAUAAUAAACUCAUGUCAUGGGGAUUUGUUGUACAGAUUAU